rnacentral:rRNA from 1 species
UACGUAGGGUGCAAGCGUUGUCCGGAAUUAUUGGGCGUAAAGAGCUCGUAGGCGGUUUGUCGCGUCUGCUGUGAAAACGCGAGGCUCAACCUCGCGCCUGCAGUGGGUACGGGCAGACUAGAGUGCGGUAGGGGGAGAUUGGAAUUCCUAGUGUAGCGGUGAAAUGCGCAGAUAUUAGGAGGAACACCGGUGGCGAAGGCGCCACUCUGGGCCGAAACUGACGCUGAGGAGCGAAAGCGUGGGGAGCGAACAGG